GUUUUAGCGAUCUGGUUGCAACUAAGAAGCCAGUGCCUGGGAUUCUGAGAUGCAGCCACAUCAUAAAGUUUCAUUACUCAAUUGCAGUAGAGAAAACCUCAAAGGAACCACUUCUAAUGGAAACUGCCUCAAUUCCUGGUCAAGUCUCACAGUCUAACCUGGAGGUGCUCUGAGAUGUGACUAAGUUAAGGAUUUUGAGAUGAAGAGACCAUCCUGAAUUAUCUGAGUGGGUCCUGAAUGUCAUCACAAGAAGCCUUAGAAGAGAGAAGCAUGAAAACCAGAAGAGGAGGAAGAGGCAACCGGGCCAUGAAGACAAGAGAUUAGAGUGAUGUGGCCACAAGUCAAGAAGUGCCGGCCUCCAGCAAAAAACUGGAAGUCAGGAGCAGGAUCUCUCCUAGAGCCUGUGGAGGGAAUGUAACCCUGCCAAUAACUUGAUUUUGGCCCAGAGAAACUGACUUCAGACUUCUGGCCUUCAGGAUGGCGAGAGAAUUAAAUCGCUGUUGUUUUUAGCCCAGUAUGUGGUAAUUUUGUUACAACAGCCACAGAAAACUAGUACAGUGGAUUUUUAGCAGUAGAAUUAAAUUAGCAGUGGAUUAAAGAGCAGUAGAAUUGUGAUUUUAUCAACACUUACUGGAUGGCAGAUUUCCUCUGCAGCAGAAGAGAAUAAAAUGUUGCCUAGGUGAUGCUGACCACCAAAACUUCUGCCAUGGACUCAGCAGUGUGAACAGACCCUGGGAAUCUAUGUACACAUAAAACACCAUGAACAUUUUGCAUUUUCUGAUUUGAACUGAAUAGGCGUUCUACUCUGUAAAUAUUUACAAAAAAACUAAAUAUAUAUUUAUGUUAACCCUUUGCUAGAGAUUUUUAAACAAACAAAAAAAUACCAGAUCUUAUUCACCAUUUUUGAUGUCAGUAAAGUGUGUUACGCAAAUUGGCUUCAAAAAUUAAAACCUGUAACAAACUUUGAGUCUUGAAAUGCAUGCUAUGUAUGAUCUUAAAAACAUGUAGGUAGGCUUAUUAGUUCAUAGAGGUUCAUAGUAUUUCAUAUGUUUUUCAGACUAUAUGUAGGGAAUUGCUGACAAAUCUUGGUAUCACUAAAUCCAUUAUCAUGUUCUGAAAUGUCACCAAAUUGAGCCUACAUAUUGUGAAGAGUGAGUGUAUGGCCAUAUAGUGUAUGGCCUCAAGAUUUUGUCUUAUAAUUUAAGUUUCAAUGUCCACACCUCAUCUAAAUUAGGGUACCAUUUGGACUAUCAUGUUUAAUAAAUUUACCACUAAGUAAUUACAUUAAAAACAAAUUUAUCUUAAAGAUGUAUAAAUUGUUUUCAUUGAAGAAGGUAGUUACUUUGGUAGCCUGUUAACAAAGCCCUGGGAAUUAUAAGACUGUAUUUUCAUGGAGGCAUACAUGUGUAGUAAUUGUAAAAUGGUUCUGUUUUCAUAUCUGGAUCUUUUAUAUGUGUGUCUGAAUUAAGAAAUUCCCAUAAUAAAAUAAAAUCUUAAUUUAGCAAAAUUAAUAUAUAGAAAGAAAUUUUAUAAAUCAUAGACUUUUAAGAUGAUCAAAUAACCUUGCUGAUCAUCUAGUCUCACACCUUUUUUGUAGAAGGCUAGACUAAAAUUCAUAAAUGUAAAUGAUCUCUCUAAAGGCAUAUGGCAAGCUAUUGGACACACCAGGAAUAAAACCCAGGUCUUGGCCGGGCGAGGUGGCUCACGCCUGUAAUCCCAGCACUUUGGGAGGCCGAGGCGGGCGGAUCACGAGGUCAGGAGAUUGAGACCAUCCCGGCUAAAACGGUGAAACCCCGUCUCUACUAAAAAUACAAAAAUUUAGCCGGGCGUAGUGGCGGGCGCCUGUAGACCCAGCUACUUGGGAGGCUGAGGCAGGAGAAUGGCGUGAACC
ensembl:lncRNA novel transcript